rnacentral:rRNA from 1 species
AGCGUACACGGUGGAUGCCCUGGCAGUCAGAGGCGAUGAAGGACGUGCUAAUCUGCGAAAAGCGCCGGCGAGGUGAUAUGAACCUUUGACCCGGCGAUGUCCGAAUGGGGAAACCCAGUGCAAUCCGUUGCACUAUCGUUAACUGAAUACAUAGGUUAACGAGGCGAACCGGGGGAACUGAAACAUCUAAGUACCCCGAGGAAAAGAAAUCAACCGAGAUUCCCCCAGUAGCGGCGAGCGAACGGGGAGCAGCCCGGAGUCUGAAUCAGCUUGUGUGUUAGUGGAACGGUCUGGAAAGUCCGACGGUACAGGGUGAUAGUCCCGUACACGAAAGCACACUUGCUGUGAACUCGAAGAGUAGGGCGGGACACGUGGUAUCCUGUCUGAAUAUGGGGGGACCAUCCUCCAAGGCUAAAUACUCCUGACUGACCGAUAGUGAACCAGUACCGUGAGGGAAAGGCGAAAAGAACCCCGGCGAGGGGAGUGAAAAAGAACCUGAAACCGUGUACGUACAAGCAGUGGGAGCCUCUUUAUGGGGUGACUGCGUACCUUUUGUAUAAUGGGUCAGCGACUUAUAUUCUGUAGCAAGGUUAACCGUAUAGGGGAGCCGAAGGGAAACCGAGUCUUAACUGGGCGUUAAGUUGCAGGGUAUAGACCCGAAACCCGGUGAUCUAGCCAUGGGCAGGUUGAAGGUUGGGUAACACUAACUGGAGGACCGAACCGACUAAUGUUGAAAAAUUAGCGGAUGACCUGUGGCUGGGGGUGAAAGGCCAAUCAAACCGGGAGAUAGCUGGUUCUCCCCGAAAGCUAUUUAGGUAGCGCCUCGUGAACUCAUCUUCGGGGGUAGAGCACUGUUUCGGCUAGGGGGCCAUCCCGGCUUACCAACCCGAUGCAAACUACGAAUACCGAAGAAUGUUAUCACGGGAGACACACGGCGGGUGCUAACGUCCGUCGUGAAGAGGGAAACAACCCAGACCGCCAGCUAAGGUCCCAAAGUCAUGGUUAAGUGGGAAACGAUGUGGGAAGGCACAGACAGCCAGGAUGUUGGCUUAGAAGCAGCCAUCAUUUAAAGAAAGCGUAAUAGCUCACUGGUCGAGUCGGCCUGCGCGGAAGAUGUAACGGGGCUAAACCAUGCACCGAAGCUGCGGCAGCGACGCUUAGGCGUUGUUGGGUAGGGGAGCGUUCUGUAAGCCGUUGAAGGUGUGCUGUGAGGCAUGCUGGAGGUAUCAGAAGUGCGAAUGCUGACAUAAGUAACGAUAAAGCGGGUGAAAAGCCCGCUCGCCGGAAGACCAAGGGUUCCUGUCCAACGUUAAUCGGGGCAGGGUGAGUCGACCCCUAAGGCGAGGCCGAAAGGCGUAGUCGAUGGGAAACAGGUUAAUAUUCCUGUACUUGGUGUUACUGCGAAGGGGGGACGGAGAAGGCUAUGUCAGCCGGGCGACGGUUGUCCCGGUUUAAGCAUGUAGGCGGAGGUUCCAGGUAAAUCCGGUACCUUAUUAACGCUGAGGUGUGAUGACGAGGCACUACGGUGCUGAAGUGAUAAAUGCCCUGCUUCCAGGAAAAGCCUCUAAGCAUCAGGUAACACGAAAUCGUACCCCAAACCGACACAGGUGGUCAGGUAGAGAAUACCAAGGCGCUUGAGAGAACUCGGGUGAAGGAACUAGGCAAAAUGGUGCCGUAACUUCGGGAGAAGGCACGCUGAUAUGUAGGUGAAGUCCCUGCGGACGGAGCUGAAAUCAGUCGAAGAUACCAGCUGGCUGCAACUGUUUAUUAAAAACACAGCACUGUGCAAACACGAAAGUGGACGUAUACGGUGUGACGCCUGCCCGGUGCCGGAAGGUUAAUUGAUGGGGUUAGCGGCAACGCGAAGCUCUUGAUCGAAGCCCCGGUAAACGGCGGCCGUAACUAUAACGGUCCUAAGGUAGCGAAAUUCCUUGUCGGGUAAGUUCCGACCUGCACGAAUGGCGUAAUGAUGGCCAGGCUGUCUCCACCCGAGACUCAGUGAAAUUGAACUCGCUGUGAAGAUGCAGUGUACCCGCGGCAAGACGGAAAGACCCCGUGAACCUUUACUAUAGCUUGACACUGAACACUGGUCCUUGAUGUGUAGGAUAGGUGGGAGGCUUUGAAGCGUGGACGCCAGUCUGCGUGGAGCCAACCUUGAAAUACCACCCUUUAAUGGCUGGUGUUCUAACGUAGACCCGUAAUCCGGGUUGCGGACAGUGUCUGGUGGGUAGUUUGACUGGGGCGGUCUCCUCCCAAAGAGUAACGGAGGAGCACGAAGGUUGGCUAAUCCUGGUCGGACAUCAGGAGGUUAGUGCAAUGGCAUAAGCCAGCUUGACUGCGAGCGUGACGGCGCGAGCAGGUGCGAAAGCAGGUCAUAGUGAUCCGGUGGUUCUGAAUGGAAGGGCCAUCGCUCAACGGAUAAAAGGUACUCCGGGGAUAACAGGCUGAUACCGCCCAAGAGUUCAUAUCGACGGCGGUGUUUGGCACCUCGAUGUCGGCUCAUCACAUCCUGGGGCUGAAGUAGGUCCCAAGGGUAUGGCUGUUCGCCAUUUAAAGUGGUACGCGAGCUGGGUUUAGAACGUCGUGAGACAGUUCGGUCCCUAUCUGCCGUGGGCGCUGGAGAAUUGAGGGGGGCUGCUCCUAGUACGAGAGGACCGGAGUGGACGCAUCACUGGUGUUCGGGUUGUCAUGCCAAUGGCACUGCCCGGUAGCUAAAUGCGGAA